AGAGUUUGAUCAUGGCUCAGGACGAACGCUGGCGGCGUGCUUAACACAUGCAAGUCGAACGGAAAGGCCCCUUCGGGGGUACUCGAGUGGCGAACGGGUGAGUAACACGUGGGUGAUCUGCCCUGCACUUUGGAAUAAGCCUGGGAAACUGGGUCUAAUACCGAAUAGGACCGCAUGCUUCAUGGUGUGUGGUGGAAAGCUUUUGCGGUGUGGGAUGGGCCCGCGGCCUAUCAGCUUGUUGGUGGGGUAAUGGCCUACCAAGGCGACGACGGGUAGCCGGCCUGAGAGGGUGUCCGGCCACACUGGGACUGAGAUACGGCCCAGACUCCUACGGGAGGCAGCAGUGGGGAAUAUUGCACAAUGGGCGCAAGCCUGAUGCAGCGACGCCGCGUGGGGGAUGACGGCCUUCGGGUUGUAAACCUCUUUCAGUAUCGGCGAAGCUCCAGGAUUUUUCUUGGGGUGACGGUAGGUACAGAAGAAGCACCGGCCAACUACGUGCCAGCAGCCGCGGUAAUACGUAGGGUGCGAGCGUUGUCCGGAAUUACUGGGCGUAAAGAGCUCGUAGGUGGUUUGUCACGUUGUCUGUGAAAACUCACAGCUUAACUGUGGGCGUGCGGGCGAUACGGGCAGACUGGAGUACUGUAGGGGAGACUGGAAUUCCUGGUGUAGCGGUGGAAUGCGCAGAUAUCAGGAGGAACACCGGUGGCGAAGGCGGGUCUCCGGGCAGUAACUGACGCUGAGGAGCGAAAGCGUGGGGAGCGAACAGGAUUAGAUACCCUGGUAGUCCAA
rnacentral:rRNA from 1 species